AGGAAUGGCAGAGUGGUCGAAUGCGGCGGUCUUGAAAACCGUUGUACCGCAAGGUACCGGGGGUUCGAAUCCCUCUUCCUCCG
rnacentral:tRNA from 1 species